rnacentral:lncRNA from 10 species
CUAAGGAAGAAUGUUCAGAGAGAUGCAAAGUUUCUGGCUUUGAAGCUGGAGGAGGCAGGGAGUGCAAGUGGCCUCUAGAAGAUGAAAAAGGAUAGAUUCCCAGAAAUGGAAUGAACAUUUUCAGGCACUUACAACAUAAGGCCAGAUUGCUGUCCAAAAUGGUUGUAACGAUGUAUAUUUAAACUGAAUCAGCAUUUGAUACAACUUCAGCAGGGGAUGAGAGCCUGGAAACUACUUUCCUCAGAAUCAUCGUUAGAGUUCAUCAAUGGAGGUAUGAAAUUUGGAAGGCAGAAGAAAUGCAGAAACCACCACUGCACCUGUGACAGAAGUAGGAAGAUCUUUAAUUGAAGAUUCAUUCUACCCUCAGAAAACUAACAGAAGAUAUUGAAAACUGCCAUAUAUAUUGGAAUCUUUAAAGGAUGAAGCUAUUCUCUGAAGUUUCCUUAUCAACCUAGAAGGUGGAGUUGCCAAAGAGGAACACAAUUGCCUUUAAUCCCCUCCCUGAAGUGUCAUUAACCAGAGAAGAUUAAAAUUCAUAUCACAGAGGAAGAGAUUGAAAAUUAAACAUUACACUUGGAUCCCAGACAAACUUUGUCCUGAACCAUCGUCUGCUAUUGGUCCCAUCUAAUUUCCAAAGAAAAUUAUUUACUAGCCAUUGUCUGAGCAUUGGGCCCAUUCGAUUCCCCCUAAAAAUCACUUAUUAUCCCUCAGAUUGCCACAUUUCCCCCAUCUACCCUUCCCUGUGAAGAAGAGUGUAUAAGCAUCUGUACCUGACCGGGUUAUUGGGUCAUACUUCUGCUAUUUCCCUGGGCCAUGAAGGUUAAAAUAAAUUUAAGGAAGAAACAAAAGAAGAAGUAAGGAAGGAAAGAAGAAAUGAAGAAGAAAAGAAAAAUGAAGGACAGAAGAACUACCAAAACGUGUAACUUGACUUUUUGAUUUGAUGCAUUUUUACUGCAGUGAAUACUUUUGUUUUUCUUCCUUAAAACUGUUAAUUAAAAACCUUCCUCCACAGCUAGAAUCACACAGGAAAUAAAAGUAGGUGUGCAUAUAAACAGAGGACUGGUAACUUGAAUUUUGUAGACAAAAGUCAUCCCCUCAAGCUCUCGUCACUUGUUCAGGGAACUUGAAGGGAAAAGUGAGAUGAACUUCUUCUCACUAUGCUCUCAGUUUGAUUUUCUAUGCUUUCAGUUUGAUUUUCCUGUUUCCCAUCUUCCUGCCUUCAGGGCAAGUGUAGAAAGAUGGUUGGGACCAUGACAAUGCCAAACAGCAAGAGUCUGAGUUUAACAAGAUUUGAAAAUUUGAAUUUAUGACAGGUGACAUCAGCUUAUAAAAUCGUUGUUUCUUAUUUUCAAAUUACACUCAUUGAGAAAGAUAUUGGCAUCACAAGACAUUGAAAAAAGUAUAUUUGAUUCAUUUAAAAUAUGAAAAAAAUGCAAUCCAGGCAUUUUUGUAAACAUUCCUUUUACAUUUGGUAAAACGUUUUGAGCCCAUGUCCCAAGAUGAAAAAACUGGAAGCCAUUUACUUUUUCAUCUUAGAUGAGUAAUAAAAUAUGGCAGUUAAGUAAGAUGCUGAUAUUUAUUUUAAUUCUGGUCUAAUAUCGUUGGGUACAAGACAAAGAUGGUAAAAAUUGACAGAAGGAUUAUAUAUCUUACCACCCUCUCCCAGCUAUUUCAAGUAAAGUUUGAUGUUCCCAAAGCCCUUAUCAUUUUUCCUCACUUCCUAAGAAAAGGCAGAAUCCCUCUUUCAGCAGGUCAACAUUCUGAGGUUUCACAAGACCUCUGCUUUUAACAUGUUUGUUUUUAUAUUUUGGGAAAAAAUGCUACACAAAAUAAAAUAUUGAAC